GGAGGACUGUGUUUGACUGCCUUGAUGUCUCUACUCCGGGAAAAGAUAAAAACCCCACAGACCUCCGAGUAGCUGGACAUGACCACCGUGCCCUCCUGUUAUCACCGUCUUCGGGAGGUUUUUAGCAAAAGCGAAGCCAUGUCUCUUCCUCCACAUCCGCCAUAUGACUGUGCCAUAGAACUGCUUCUGGGCUCCAUCAUUCCCAAGGGCCGCCUAUACUUUACUCUCUGGCCCGGAGAAGAAGGCCAUGCGGGAGUUGUCAUGACCCAGAUCAACGGAGAUGACAAAAACGGGAGAGACACAGUGCAAAGCCGAUAUAAAAGUAUAUUUUUUAAGUAAAGAGGCAAAACCAAAAGUAAAGCAAAUAUGAGGUGUGUAAGUCAGUAGUUUCAGUCAUGUCAGUGUGGGUGCUUGAUCAUGCACAUCUUCCAGCCAGAUCAUGAGUGUUGUGAACAUAAAUGGAACGCAAAGAGACAAUUACAAGGUGCCUGUAAGUAGUUCAUGAGCACAUCUGAAGGGUCGGCCAACCCGGACAUUGGCGUGGGUCUGCUACCACUGCCCACCGAAGCUUGAGGCCGCCAUUACCCCGGGCCAAAGACCUCCAGGCAGUUUAUCAAAGUGUCUGAGGGAUGUUGGUCGGCCGCAGUCUCUAGCACGGCCGGUUCCCACGCUGAAGGAGGAUCCAUUGUGGGUCAGUAUUAAUUGAGAUUAGAUAUGGGGAGAAAAAGCAUAAAAGCGAAUAUUGUCGGAGCCUCCUUUGGAGACCAAUGUUCAAUUUUUUUUUUUUUUUUUUUUUUUUUUUUUAAAUGUUUAAGAGUUGGUGGGGAAACAGUGAUUGAUGCAGCUAAUAAUCUGAACAUGUCAACUGUGCUAAUAAUCUGAACAUGUCAACUGUGCACGGUUAAUUAACUAAAUAAUAAUUAGGCUUAAAAUAAAGCAUAGUUAAGGACACGGACACUUUGAAUGACAGAUGGCUACAAUGCCAGCUUCUAGUUGUUAGGUUUAGGUGAAGGUUCGGGCCCCAAAGCAGACAAGGAGAGGUUUGUAGUUAGAUAUGUGAACAAAGUUUAUUGGCUGGCGAGGAUCCUGGCAACGGGGAGGACGAAGAGCCGGCGAUGAUGCACACAAGAGUUCGUAGUGGACGGAAUAAUCUGGCGUCGACGUGAGACACCCAGGUUUAUAUGGAGGAGGAUGAUUGGAUGCAGGUGUGCCUCGUCCAGUUGCCGCCAACAGCCAGCCACACCCCCUGCCGCACACAAACACAGGAGAACACAGGAAAAACCCAAACAAACAAAAACACAAUCACCACAGUACCCCCCCCUCCCCCCCUCAGGGAAAGCCCCCCGACCCGGCUUGCCCGGGAACUGUUCAUAAAAGUCAUCCAAAAUAGACUGGUCAAGGAUGAGGGAACGAGAAAUCCACUGUCUCUCCUCUGGACCGUAACCCUUCCAGUCCACGAGGUACUGGUAGCCUCGACCACGCCGGCGUACGUCCAAAACCUUAUAUACUGUGUACGCCGGGUGGUCAUCAAUGUCAAGGGUGGGUGGGGGGAGCUCUGCAGGAGGACUUAGUGGACUGGUGGACACUGGUUUGAGGAGAGAGACAUGAAAAGUGGGGUGAAUCCGUAGCGACAGGGGGAGCUUAUAGCCGAAGGGUUAAUGAUCCGGUCAACCUCGAAUGGCCCAAUAUACCUCGGAGUCAGUUUACGGGACUCAGUCUGGAGGGGCAGAUCACGGGAUGAUAGCCAGACCAUCUGUCCCGGCUGGUAGUCCGGGGCCGGUGCCGAUCCGCCACUCGCUGAUUGCGGGCCGCAGUGCGGACGAGGGCUGCCUGGGCCUCGCGCCAGACCCGACGAACACGCCGGAGAUGUUCCACCAUGGAUGGCACUGCCAGAUCAGUCUCCUGAGAAGGGAACAGAGGAGGCUUGAAACCAUUAGCUGCCAUGAAAGGGGACAUACCUGUGGCGGAGCAGACCAGGGAGUUGUGAGCAUAUUCAGUCCAGGGGAAGUGUGUGGCCCAGGAAGCAGGAUGUCGAGCAGUGACAACGCAGGGCCGCCCCCAGAUCCUGGUUUGCCCGUUCCGUCUGGCCAUUGGACUGAGGAUGGUAACCCGAAGAAAGGCUGGCUGAUGCCCCCAGCGCCUUGCAGAACGCCCUCCACGUUCUGGCGGAAAACUGCGGACCUCUGUCAGAGACAAUAUCCAUCGGGAUGCCAUGAAGGCGGAAGACGUGGGUAACCAGCAGGUUGGCGGUCUCCAGUGCGGAAGGUAGCUUGGAAAGGGGGACGAAGUGGGCUGCCUUGGAGAACCGGUCGACCACGGUCAGUAUAACUGUGUUGCCUUCCAAGGGGGGUAAGCCAGUGAUUAAGUCGACCGCCACAUGCGACCACGGGCAGUGAGGGAUGGGAAGGGGGUGCAGCAAUCCGGCGGGGGCCUGGUGUGAGGCCUUACUCCGGGCGCAGACGGAACAGGCAGCGACGAAUCCCCUGGUAUCCGUUGUCAUGGAAGGCCACCAGAACCGUUGUUGUAGGAGAGCCAGUGUUCUACGCAAACCAGGAUGGCAGGCAAUCCGGGAGGCGUGUCCCCAUUGCAGGACAGGAGACCUCACCACCUCUGGAACAAACAACCUGCCCGGAGGACAACCCUGUGGAACCGGCUGGUCCCUCUGGGCCCCCUGGACCACACCCUCGAUCUCCCACCCAGCUGCUCCAACCACACAGGCCGACGGCAGGAUGGUGCUUCCAGCGGUGUCCUCAACCGGGGGAGCCAACUGACGUGACAGUGCGUCCGGUUUGAUGUUCUUGGAUCCUGGAUGAUAGGUGAGGGUGAAUUGAAACCGCCCCAGGAACAAAGCCCAUCGGGCCUGGCGUGAGUUGAGCCUCUGAGCCGAUCUGAGGUAGGAGAGGUCCUUGUGAUCCGACCACACAAUGAAAGGGUGAGUGGAUCCCUCCAGCCAGUGCCUCCACUCCUGCAGAGUUAGGAGGGCGGGAGAAAAAGGCACAAGGGUGCUGCUUCUGAUCAGCCGAGGAGCGCUGUGAAAGUACAGCUCCCACCCCGGAGUCGGAAGCAUCCACCUCCACAAUAAACUGUAGCGCGUGUUAAAACCAGUCUUCCACUAGUCUCCUUUCUUGAUCCUCACUAGGUGAUAAGCGUUUCGGAGGUCCAACUUCGUAAAGAUAGAGGCCUCAUGAAGGGGUCCGAACGCCUUGUCCUUCUUUUCAACAACCCCCACCCCCCCCCUAGCGGAGAAGACUAAGGUCGAAUUAGUCCUGUGGCCAAGGAGUCAGUAAUAUAUGUCUCCAUGGCCACGCUUUCCGGCUUAGAUAGGUUAUACAGCUUACUGGAAGGAUAAGGAGCUUCCAGAACUAAAUCAAUGGAGCAGUCAUAAGGUCUGUGAGGGGGGGAGAGAGUGAGCGUGGUCCUUACUAAACGCCUCCCGGAGGUGGUGAUAAACUGGGGGCACAGAGCUGACGUCCACUGAUUUGGGUGUUGAAGACAUGGUUGACGGGAUGGCAGAAUGUAAACAAUGAGAAUGACCGAAAAGACUCCAGUUGAAAAUGGAGACAGAGGACCAGUCAAUCUGAGGGUUAUGCAACUUCAACCAAGCAAGCCCUAGCACUACAGGGGAAGCCGGAGAAGGAAUUAAAAAAAAAAAAGAAUCUCCUGGUGGUUACCGGAUAGCAUCAGGUUCACGGGCGCCGUGCGGUGGGUGACCUGAGCUAACAGCCUGCCAUCUAAAGCAAAAACCCUCUUAGGGUGAGAAAGCAGCUGGCAGGGGAUACCUGCCUGAGAAGCAAAACUAGAGUCAAUAAAAUUGUCAUCGGCCCCUGAGUCCACUAAAAUGGACAGGGAACGGGAGGACUGAUCCCAAGACACAGUCCCUUGAAUUGUCAAACAGGAAGGAGACGAACAAACAGGACAGGCUCACCAACGCUCCUCCAGAAAUUGGUGAGCCCCCCCUUUUGGCAGCAGCGGGCAGUGCAUUUGCAGAUGUCCAUCCUGCCCGCAGCAAAGGCAGAGACCAUGGCGCCGGCGACGUUGAUACUUCCCUUGGUGUGAGUCUGGUCUCUCCAAGCUGCAUGGAGGGAGGAGACGCGGUCCGGGAAAACCUCCUGUCGGGACAAGGAGGAGGCACAAGCCCCCACUGGGGAGGGCUCACGCUCUGAGUCACGGGAGGGGGCAGACUAACUUUCCCUAGUCUCUCCCUACGACGCUCAUGAAGACAAGAAUCUAAACGAAUAGCUAACGAAAUUAAUUCAUCUAGAGAGGAUGUCUCAUCCCGAGCAGCCAAUUCGUCCCUCAACUCUUCUCUCAAUCCCCGGAGAAAACCCCCCUGCAACGCUCUUUCAUCCCACCCGGCCUCAAGCGCUAGAAUCCGGAAAUUCACCAAAUGCUUAGCUACGGAGUCUCCUCCCUGUCGUAGCGACAGGAGCCGACUGCUAGCCUCCUUGCUACGCAGCGGGUGGUCAAACACUUUAAGAAACUCCUGAGAAGGAGGAAAAGGAAAAACAAACCGGAGACUGGCUAAACGAGAGCUUUGCAGCCCAAGCCGCGUCUUUCUCAGAUAGGAAACUCAUAACAAACGCUACCCGCGAUUUGACGGUAGCGUAAGUGAAGGGCUGUUGUUCAAAAACGAGAUUACAUUGAAAAAGGAAUUCUCUACCGGACCCUGACUGACCCGAAAACCUAACGGGUGUGGGGAUGAUGGGUUCCCGGGGUUGAGUGGAGGAAGAGCUCGGCGGAGCCGCAGGAGGUGGUGGGGCAAGAGCCGGGACCAGAGCUGGAGCGGGAGACGAAGCAGUCAGCGUGGAGAGUUUCCAAUCUUCACCAGAGCCUUCAAGUACCCUGCUUUUCCAUCACUCCUCGCCAGAUCUUCCCAUAGAAUCACCUGGCAAGUACCAAGAGAGCUAAGACCUACAUUGUUGCUGUUCGUACCUUGUAGAACCUAUUUUCUGCAGUCAUUCUGAUUGCUUGUUUUUUGCCUCCUGCAGUUGCCUAUCGCCAACCGUUGCCACUUGUCUGGAUUAUUGUUUUGGCUACCAAUUUACACACGCCGGGACGCUGACCACUCUUCCGGAUUCAGAUGUAUAAAUGUACCGUAAGAAUAACUGUACUUUCGGACCAUUAAAACGCC
ensembl:lncRNA